rnacentral:snoRNA from 1 species
UUAGUGAUGAGUGCCCUUGAUCCUGAUGAAAAGAUGAUGAGCGGAUUCCUGGCUGAU